rnacentral:rRNA from 1 species
ACGGGGCGCAGCAGGCGCGAAAUCUUCACAAUGUGCGAAAGCACGAUGAGGGGAUCCCAAGUGUUGGUUCGUAAGAAUCAUCUGUUUCUUUGUCUAAAAAACAGAGAGAGUAAGAGCUGGGUAAGACGGGUGCCAGCCGCCGCGGUAAUACCUGCAGCUCAAGUGGUGGCCGCUAUUAUUGGGCCUAAAACGUCCGUAGCCGGUUUAGUAAAUGCUUGGGUAAAUUGUGUAGCUCAACUAUACGAAUACCGAGUAGACUGCUGAACUUGGGACCGGGAGAGGCUAGAGGUACUCCUAGGGUAGAGGUGAAAUUCUGUAAUCCUAGGGGGACCACCAGUGGCGAAGGCGUCUAGCUAGAACGGGUCUGACGGUGAGGGACGAAGCCCUGGGGCGCAAACCGGAUUAGAUACCCGGGUAGUCCAGGGUGUAAACGCUGCUCGCUUGAUGUUAGUUGGGCUCCGAGCCCAGCUAGUGUCGGAGAGAAGUUGUUAAGCGAGCUGCCUGGGAAGUACGGUCGCAAGGCUGAAACUUAAAGGAAUUGGCGGGGGAGCACAGCGACGGGUGGAGCGUGCGGUUUAAUUGGAUUCAACGCCGGAAAUCUCACCGGAGGCGACGGUUAUAUGAAGGCCAGGCUGAUGACCUUGCCUGAUUUUCCGAGAAGUGGUGCAUGGCCGUCGUCAGUUCGUACCGUGAGGCGUUCUGUUAAGUCAGACAACGAACGAGACCCUCAUCUUUAGUUGCUACUGGUAAGUCCGCUUAUCAG